CCAGCCCAGCUAAUGACCUAACCCUAGCCCGGCCCCGAUGAUCCCCUGAAUCGAUCCUUCCUCUCGAUCCCGACCUGGUUCACACCGGCGGCGGCGGCAGGCCGGCACCGAAUUCCAGCAGUUCCUCACAGACUGCCCGGCUCCCUCUCAGCCCCUCUCACACAGGCACGCAACAGCCAGUAGCAGCCCGUUCCCCGGCGGCAGCUCGCCGGCUGAGCUCGUCACUUCGCAGGCGGUAGCGGCAGCAGCAGCACCAAGCAAAUUUAGGUACUUGAUGGAGCCUGAUCUAACUUUGGAUGAAGUAGCAGAACAGAACAGAUCAGCACCUGACGAAGAGGAUGAAGAUGCUUUUGUCGUCGAGGAGAUUGGGGAUUCUUCAGAUGACCGACAGGCAGAGCCGACCGUGGCGUUGGAACCCAAGAAGGGGAUGAUGUUCAGCAGCGAGGAUGAUGCUGUCAGGUUCUACAAAGCUUAUGCCAGAAAAAAGGGCUUUGGUGUCAUAAGAAGGACGACCAGACACGGAGAAGACAAAAUGCUUACUUAUUUCACGCUUGCUUGUAACAGACAAGGGAAGGCUCAGUACUCAGCAAAGAACUCAUUCAAGCCUAAUCCGUCGACAAGGAUGCAAUGCCCAGCUAAGAGUAAUUUCUCUCGUCGUGGGGAAAACUUUUGUAUCACGACUGUUACGCUUGACCACAAUCAUCCUAUAAGUCCAAGCAAAGCCAGAUUUCUGAGAUGUCAUAAGAAAGUGGACUUGCAUUCCAAGAGAAGGCUAGAAUUGAAUGAUCAAGCAGGAGCACGUAUGAACAAGAAUUUUGGUUCUCCUGUUAUGGAAGCUGGCUGGUAUGGAAAUCUUGAGUUUGGUGAAAAGGAAUGCACUAACUAUUUGCAAGAGAAAAGAAGCCUGAAACUUGGUGCUGGAGAUGCACAUGCCCUUUAUCAGUAUUUUCUCCAUAUGCAGUCAAAAGAUCCAGCUUUUUUCCAUGUUAUGGAUGUGGCCGAGGAUGGACGACUGAGAAAUGUCUUUUGGGCAGAUGCAAGAAGUAGGGCUGCAUACGAGUCUUAUUGGGAUGUCAUCACAUUUGAUACUACAUACCUAACAAACAAGUAUACAAUACCGCUCGCUACUUUUGUUGGCAUAAAUCAUCAUGGAGAAUCUGUUCUAUUAGGUUGUGGUCUUCUGUCCAAUGAAGACACCGAGACUUUUGUUUGGCUGUUUAAAUCUUGGCUAUGCUGUAUGUCAUGCAAACCACCAAAUGCUAUAAUCACCGACCAAUGCAAACCAAUGCAGAAUGCUAUUGAAGAAGUUUUCCCUCAAGCUCGUCAUAGAUGGUGUGCAUGUCAUAUCAUGAAGAAGAUUCCUGAAAACCUUAAUGGGUAUGAAAACAUUAAAUCUACAUUGUCAAAUGUGGUGUAUGAUUCCUUGACCAAACAUGGUUUUGACAAAGCUUGGGCGGAGAUGAUCAAUAAAUAUGAUCUUCAGGAGAAUGAAUGGCUUGCUGGAUUAUAUGAUAAUAAAAAUCGAUGGGUACCAGCAUAUGUAAAAGAUACUUUCUGGGCAGGAAUGUCUUCAACAAAAAGGAGUGAGAGUGUAAAUGCUUUCUUUGAUGGCUAUGUCAAUGCUAGAACAACUCUGAAGCAAUUUGUGGAGCAGUAUGAAAAUUUACUAAGAGACAAGGUAGAGAAAGAAAACAAGGCUGAUUCUAAGUCAUUCCAACAGCAAAUUCCAUGCAUUACUCACUAUGACUUUGAGAGACAAUUUCAAGCAGCAUAUACUACUGCAAAGUUUAAAGAGUUUCAAGAUCAAUUAAGAGGUAAAAUCUAUUGCUAUCCAACUCAGCUGAACAAAGAAGGAUCAAUUUUUACAUUUGGAGUCAGAGAGGACAGCAAGAUUUUUUGUGAAGGGGAGGAUGGCAAAGGAAAAGAGAAAAGGGUUAUUUUAGAGUUCAUUGUCUUGUUCAACCAAGGGGAAUGUGAUGUGCAGUGUAUGUGUAGGCUCUUUGAAUUUCGAGGCAUCUUGUGUAGCCACAUCAUUUCCGUGCUUGCUCUCAUGGAGAUCACAGAUGUACCUUCUAGGUAUAUAUUGCAGCGAUGGAGAAAGGAUAUUAAGCGCAAACACACAUUUAUUAGAUGCUCCUAUGAUGAUAUGAUUGAUACACAAGUUGUGCAGCGUUAUGAUAAUUUGUGCAAGCGUUCCCACGAACUGGCAGAGAAUGGUGCAGAGUCUGAUGCAUUGCAUGACUUGGUGAUGGAUGGCCUUAAUGAAUUACAAAGUAAGAUUGACGCGUACUGUGCUAGGUAGGAAGUUUAAGAGAAGGAUCCAACUUCAAAGCAUGAAGAUACAAUGAAAAAGAAAAAAAGGAAAAAAUUGUACUCAGUCAAAAUCCCUAUUCGCAGUGUAGGUUGUCCUCCUUCAAAGAGAAAGGAAUCGAAAGUGGAUCAAGUGGUCAAAAAAUUGAGAGCAAAGAAGCAGCAGGUACCAACAAAUACAAAUGAAAUGCCAAGUCAAUAGAGGAGAAAGGACAAGGCUGGGAUGUACAGGGUGGUUUCUAUGUCAGUCCUGAUGCAAAGCUGCUAUUUGUGGUCCCGAUCCAUGGGAACAGUCCAGCCACGUUGGUGAUGAGUGGAGAUCACUGCAUCAGCAUGAAGUACUCCACUGCGAAGCAUGGCCAAAUGUACUUCCAAGUCUGGAUGGUUGAAAUUCAUGAUGUAGACUAAUCUGGAGAUAGGGUUGCUCAUGCUCAUCUGAUUUUCAUGAUGAUGAAACUCUUGGCAUCGAUUUCGAUGCCCUGUAGAUAGUCAGCACUAGUUGCCCAAGGCUUCAGACACGAUGUUUUGCCAUGUUUCAGUCUAGGUAUCAUAUAUGACCAGACACAAACCUUAGUCUUUCUUCAUUUAUGUGUUUGUCAGUUAAAUCAUUUAGUCUUCUUCAGUUUCUUUUCAAGUUAUCAGUUGAUCAGUUUCAUAUU